UCACAAGAGGAAGAAAUCAUAUAUUGGAUAAAACUGUUGGAUUACAAUUGUGGAUAUUACAGGAGGAACAUCAUCCAGAUUUGAUGCAUAAUCUAAACAUUUUUCUUGACAGAAAAACUUAAACAAAAAGGCUUCCAUCAACAUCCCUACAACUUGAACUAAAACUUAAUCGAGGAACAACAUCCAACAGGAACAACAUCCCUACAACUUAACUAAUCCUGAAAGCAUCCACCGUCAUCAUCAUCAUUGCAGUAUACUUGCCACGCACCCAUAUAAUCAUCCAUAUAUCUUUUGAAUCUGCAAAGAAAAUAGAAAAAUGAACUGUUAACACACAAUGAAUUGACAUGAUGCAAGUAUUGAUAGAGGAAAGAUAUUAAACGCCUACAAAGGUUGAAGGUCAUGCAAUCUUUGUUUUAAUGCAUUACCGAGUAUUGUCGUUUUCAUGACUCAGCACCAAAUCUUCAGUUUUCAAAAGUGCCACAUUGACAUGCACUACCCAAAAUCCAUUUGUAAUUUCAGCACCAUCAAGAUUAAAUUUGGGACCACAACUUACAACUAUAGCAAGAGUUACAUACCUGUUAUGAUUAUCAAAAGACACCGGCAUUCAAGGGCAAUGUGAGUGACAGUACCACUUCUCUUCUCUUCUCUCUAGUUAGUUAACAAACUGAAAGAAAACGGUUUUAGCCAUCUGAAACUGAACAAAAACAUUUAGCUCUAGUUGGUUUCAGUCAUCCAACAGGAAACAGACAAACCUAUGGGUGCUCACAGCGCUUUGGAACAAACCUACAGCCCCAAAUAAACUGAAUUGAAUUUACAUGGUCAUCAGCAGCCUAGAGAUCCAUUGCUAAUUCUGUACACCUAUAGUCAAAGCUUUUUUGUGUGAACCAACUGAUAUAUUUAUCCACUGAAACCUACAGCCCCAAAUCCUAUAAAUUUGCAUGGACAUCAGCAUAGAUACUAGCAUGGCUCAAUGGCCGUGGACACAACGAGUAGUAGCACGGUAGGGAGAGGGAGAGAGUAUACCAACCAUGGCAUCGUCCAUGACAUGCUCCACUUACUCGACUUGCUCCAUGGCGUCCCCCUGCAUAGAGUUGGUGUGUGUGG
rnacentral:lncRNA from 1 species